rnacentral:rRNA from 1 species
UACGAAGGGGGCUAGCGUUGCUCGGAAUCACUGGGCGUAAAGCGCACGUAGGCGGAUUGUUAAGUCAGGGGUGAAAUCCUGGAGCUCAACUCCAGAACUGCCUUUGAUACUGGCGAUCUCGAGUCCGGGAGAGGUGAGUGGAACUGCGAGUGUAGAGGUGAAAUUCGUAGAUAUUCGUAAGAACACCAGUGGCGAAGGCGACUUUCUGGCUCGAUACUGACGCUAAGGCGCGAAAGCGUGGGGAGCAAACAGG